rnacentral:lncRNA from 1 species
AUCGUUUGGAAUCGAAUUCGAAUUACGUGUGAACUCAGCAUUAUUAUUCAGGUAUAAAACCACUAAUUUAUAGCCCGAUUGCUAUCUAUGUUAAAUUCGACCGUUUUUAGCAUUAAUGGCUACUUUGUCAAAUUGAGUGACAGUUAUUUCAUGCCAAAGAUAUACCUUCUCCUGGCUUAUGCUAAAAAAAAUCAACAUGCCUUUAAUUGCAUAUAAGAGCGAACUGUUUCUCGAAAUUUUGAAAGUACAAAAACCGGUACAUCUGAUAUAAAAUACAGGGCAAAUGUGCUAUUAAAAUUUCAUUAUUCAACAAGGGUUCUAUAGUGAUCCCAAGUCCCCCAGCAUUCAUUGAUACCAAAAACAACUCAAAUAUUUCACCUAUUGAUAAGGAUACAGCUAUGCAUAGAAACUAUUUUGUUUAAAUUAUGUUCGACCAGGCCUGAAUAAGGGGUUCUACACCUUCAUGGUAUACCAAUUUUUUGGGAAAAUUUGAACUUAAAACAUUCAAUUAAAUUUUAAUUUUCUAAAGGUCUGUAUGCAGACUUUAGAAGUUUGAAGAUUUAAAACCAUGUGUGACAUAUAUACUAAAUAGCAAAAGAAAUGUUAAAAAAAAAAAGAUGACUUUGUUAAAAGAAUUGAUUUGUCUGAAAUUUGUCAAAAGUCUGACUAAAACCAAAACAUUUCAACUAUCAAAACCACAAUUACACAUCUUCCUCCAAAACCAAACAAAUUGAAAAUACAAGAAACAAAAUAACUAUGAUUAUAAUUGAAAACCCAUUUUGAAAAAAGAUUAUCCCUUUUAUAAUCUUAAUCCUAAUUUUUUUUUUUUUUUUUUGGGGGGGGGGAGGGGGAUGUUUCUUGUGAAGCUCGGUAUAAUUUCUUUCUUGUGUGUUUAAAAUUUAACAAACCAGUAGUUGUUAUGUGUUAUUUGAUUUGUUUGUUUGUUAUUUUUUAUUUGUUGUAUCAAGUGGUAUUGAUAAAGAUAUAAAAUCUUGAUAAUAUAGUCUAGUUUAAAUUCCAUCUUAAUGGCAGAUCAUAUUCAGGGACUUGAAUGAAACAAAAAUGAGGCCAUGGUUUUACCUUAGAAAGAUUAGAUUUAAACCUUUAGAUAAUUAUUUAACGGUACUUAUUUACUUAUUUAUAAAUAUAGAAAGAUGUGGUACAAGUGCUAAUAAGACAACUCUGCAUCCAAGCCCUAAUUUGUAACGGUAAACCAUUAUAGGUCACAGUACGGUCUUCAACACGGAGCCUAGGCUCACACCAAACAGCAAGCUAUAAAGGGCCCUAAAAAUGACGAGUGUAAAAACCAUUUAAACAGGAAAAGUGACGGUCUAAUCUAUACAAAAAAAGAGAAACACUUAUGUACCACAUCAUCAAACAACAACCACUAAACAACAAGUUUCUGUUUUAUGACCGAUGAAAACAAAUAGAGCGGGUUUAAAUGUUUUAACAGGUGCCAACUGACCUGAAAUAAUUGUGUGAUAUGUUUGAUUGUUAUUUUAGUAAUCCAGCUUUUGUGGCCAAGUGUUCUAAAUAUAUUAUAUACAGUACUAGUGAUCACUGGUCUGUCUUCAAUAAUGUUGUGAGGUUAAACCCCAUUGUAGCAGGUGGGUGGGUGUUUAAUCUCAUUCUUAAUUGACACAGAUUACCUGUUUCCUUUGAUGGUCAAUAGUUCUCUCUUGAUAUUCUGUCUUUCUCCACCAAUAAAAACUGGGAACAUUGAUUAAGCAAAGAGUUUAGAAAAUGUUGUUAAACACCAACAGUUUAUCCAUCAAUCAUAUUUCAGUAUUCACUUUUAUCAUCAUACAUUUUUUAUUUAUAUAUUUCUUUCCAAAAAUGCUCCCACCUGUAGUAAAUUUACUUGUAUUGUUUUCUAUUGUUAACUGAAAUUAUUGAAAUUCUAUUAUGGCACUUUUUUGUUUGUUUGAUGUCAGUAAAAUCAAGCCAUGAUUUCUUCCAAUAGAGAACUUUCUAUUGUCAUGGUAUUUUAUAUUCAGAUGUUCAUAUUCAGUAUUAAAAGGUUUGAUGGUUUUGCUUUUUCUGACUUCAAAAUUCAUUGUCAGACAUUUUUAUGCCUGUUGGACUUUUAUAUCUAAAAAAUGUACAAGACCUCCAAAUUUCUUUCUAGUUUCCAACUAAAUCAAUGUUUUUUAGACUUCAACUUAUAUUACUUUAACUUUAAUUGUGUCUGUUGACAUUAUAUACUUAAACAAUUUUCUCUUAUUUUUGUGCUAUUUUCACAUUUCUGGAGUGGAGUGAGAAAAAUAUUUCUCAUUACUAGUGAAAUGUCUGUUCUCAGCAAAUGAAUGGUCAAAAUUUAAUUAUAACAUUAAAUUUUCUUGAUUUUUGUAUGAAUUUCUUAUUGUGACGUUUUGCUGACGUCACAUACAAAGAACACACUUUUCUGCAAAUCUUUGAAAAGGUAUGAUAAAAAUCAUUAGAAAAACUAAUUACACCACUAUUACUCAUGUACAUGUAUUACAAUAUUUCUAUACUCUCAACAGUUAAAUUUUAAUUAUUUAAAAAGGUCGGCAAACCUUGUGCCUUGAUUAUUAAAAUUUAACUGUCUCAAGUGGAAAAAUAUGGUAAUUCACUUGUUGCAGUGAUUGAUCUUUAUAUCUUUGCAUGCAGUACCAUGAGAGAUACCCAUUGUA